GACGAACGCUGGCGGCGUGCCUAAUACAUGCAAGUCGAACGCGUCUACGUUAAUGAAAUCAAUGUGCUUGCACGGCGAUGGAUUUAACAUUAGACGAGUGGCGAACUGGUGAGUAACACGUGGGUAACCUGCCCUCAAGCAGGGGAUAACACUUGGAAACAGGUGCUAAUACCGUAUAACAACAAAAACCGCAUGGUUUUUGUUUGAAAGAUGGUUUCGGCUAUCACUUGAGGAUGGACCCGCGGCGUAUUAGCUAGUUGGUGAGGUAAUGGCUCACCAAGGCAAUGAUACGUAGCCGACCUGAGAGGGUAAUCGGCCACAUUGGGACUGAGACACGGCCCAAACUCCUACGGGAGGCAGCAGUAGGGAAUCUUCCACAAUGGACGAAAGUCUGACGGAGCAACGCCGCGUGAGUGAAGAAGGUUUUCGGAUCGUAAAACUCUGUUGUGAGGGAAGAACACGUACCAAGUAACUACUGGUACCUUGACGGUACCUCACCAGAAAGCCACGGCUAACUACGUGCCAGCAGCCGCAGUAACAC
rnacentral:rRNA from 1 species